rnacentral:rRNA from 1 species
GAUGAACGCCGGCGGCGUGUCUAAUACAUGCAAGUCGAGCGAACGGACGAGAAUCUUGCUUUUCUGAUGUUAGCGGCUGACGGGUGAGUAACACGUGGAUAACCUACCUUUAAGACUGGGAUAACUUCGGGAAACCGGAGCUAAUACUGGAUAAUCUUUUGAACCGCAUGGUUCAAAAGUGAAAGACGGUCUUUCUGUCACUUAUAGAUGGAUCCGCGCUGCAUUAGCUAGUUGGUAAGGUAACGGCUUACCAAGGCAACGAUGCAUAGCCGACCUGAGAGGGUGAUCGGCCACACGGGAACUGAGACACGGUACAGACUCCUACGGGAGGCAGCAGUAGGGAAUCUUCCGCAAUGGGCGAAAGCCUGACGGAGCAAAGCCGCGUGAGUGAUGAGGGUCUUCGGAUCGUAAAACUCUGUUAUUAGGGAAGAGCAUAUGUGUAAGGAACUGUGCACAUCUUGACGGUACCUGAUCAGAAAGCCACGGCUAACUACGUG